UGGGGAAUAUUGGACAAUGGGCGAAAGCCUGAUCCAGCCAUGCCGCGUGUGUGAAGAAGGUCUUCGGAUUGUAAAGCACUUUAAGUUGGGAGGAAGGGCAGUAAAUUAAUACUUUGCUGUUUUGACGUUACCGACAGAAUAAGCACCGGCUAACUCUGUGCCAGCAGCCGCGGUAAUACAGAGGGUGCAAGCGUUAAUCGGAAUUACUGGGCGUAAAGCGCGCGUAGGUGGUUCGUUAAGUUGGAUGUGAAAUCCCCGGGCUCAACCUGGGAACUGCAUUCAAAACUGACGAGCUAGAGUAUGGUAGAGGGUGGUGGAAUUUCCUGUGUAGCGGUGAAAUGCGUAGAUAUAGGAAGGAACACCAGUGGCGAAGGCGACCACCUGGACUGAUACUGACACUGAGGUGCGAAAGCGUGGGGAGCAAACAGGAUUAGAUACCCGCGUAGUCCCUGAGCGGGCUGGCAAGGCGCAU
rnacentral:rRNA from 1 species